rnacentral:misc_RNA from 1 species
GAUGAAGAACGUAGUGAAAUGCGAUAAGUAGUGUGAAUUGCAGAAUUCAGUGAAUCAUCGAAUCUUUGAACGCACAUUGCGCCCUUUGGUAUUCCUUAGGGUAUGCCUGUUCGAGCGUCAUUUAAACCUUCAAGCUAAGCUUGGUGUUGGGUGACUGUCCGCUUCACGGCGGACUCGCCUCAAAAUUAUUGGCGGCCGGUACAUUGGCUUCGAGCGCAGCAGAAACGCGAACUCGGGCCCGUCGUAUUGGCUCCCAGAAGCUAUCUUCACAAUUUUGACCUCGGAUCAGGUAGGGAUACCCGCUGAACUUAAGCAUAUCAAUAAGCGGAGGA